rnacentral:rRNA from 1 species
CAUGCAAGUCGAGCGAGAAGCUAACUUCGGUUAGUGGACAGCGGCGCACGGGUGAGUAACGCGUGGGAAUUUACCUUUCGGCGGGGGACAACAGUUGGAAACGACUGCUAAUACCGCAUACGCCCUACGGGGGAAAGAUUUAUCACCGAAAGAUAGGCCCGCGUUAGAUUAGGUAGUUGGUAGGGUCAAAGCCUACCAAGCCGACGAUCUAUAGCUGGUUUGAGAGAACGAUCAGCCACACUGGAACUGAGACACGGUCCAGACUCCUACGGGAGGCAGCAGUGGGGAAUCUUGCACAAUGGGCGAAAGCCUGAUGCAGCCAUGCCGCGUGAGUGCUAAGGCCUUCGGGUUGUAAAACUCUUUUAGAUGUGAAGAUGAUGACGGUAACAUCAGAAAAAGCACCGGCUAACUUCGUGCCAGCAGCCGCGGUAAUACGAAGGGUGCUAGCGUUGUUCGGAAUUACUGGGCGUAAAGAGCGUGUAGGCGGCUUAGCAAGUUAGAGGUGAAAUCCCAGGGCUUAACCCUGGAACUGCCUUUGAUACUGCUAAGCUUGAGAUCGUGAGGGGAUAGCGGAAUACCCAGUGUAGAGGUGAAAUUCGU